CGCCCAUAGCUCAGCUGGUUAGAGCAGUCGACUCAUAAACGAUUGGUCGUAGGUUCAAGUCCUACUGGGCCCACCA
rnacentral:tRNA from 1 species